rnacentral:rRNA from 1 species
CACUACAACGGGUGGAGCCUGCGGUUUAAUUGGAUUCAACGCCGGAAAUCUCAUCGGGGCGACAGCAAUAUGAAGGUCAGGCUGAAGACCUUACCCGAUUAGCUGAGAGGUGGUGCAUGGCCGUCGUCAGUUCGUACUGUGAAGCAUCCUGUUAAGUCAGGCAACGAGCGAGACCCACGUCCACAGUUGCCAGCAUACCCUCCGGGGUGAUGGGUACACUGUGGAGACCGCCGCUGCUAAAGCGGAGGAAGGAGUGGGCAACGGUAGGUCAGUAUGCCCCGAAUCUCCCGGGCUACACGCGGGCUACAAUGGUUGGUACAAUGGGCAUCUACCCCGAAAGGGGAAGGAAAUCUCUUAAAGCCAAUCGUAGUUCGGAUUGAGGGCUGCAACUCGCCCUCAUGAAGCUGGAAUCCGUAGUAAUCGCGUUUCAACAGAACGCGGUGAAUACGUCCCUGCUCCUU